AAUCAUGUUAUCAUGCAUAUGUUCAUACAUAUUGUGAACCACCAACUAUAUAUAGCAUCUCAUAUAUCAUCUUGACAUCGAUUAAUAUAAAAGCCUCAUCAAGCAUACUCAUCACAAAUCAUCAUCAACCCAUUGCAUCAGAUAUAAGUUUUAAACCAAGUACAUCAACACCUAUUCUAACAACAGAAGCAAAUAUAACAUAAUUCAAAAAGAUAAGUUUAGAAAAUUAGGUUGCCUCCCAGGUAGCGCUUGUUUAACGUCACGAGCCUGACCCAAACCUUUCUAGCACUUGUCAGUAAGUGCAAAUCUUUCCAACACCCAUCAGUAGGUGUGCU
rnacentral:lncRNA from 1 species